GAAAUAACUAUAGGAGGUCCAGCCUGCCCAGUGACUAAGUUAAACGGCCGCGGUACCCUAACCGUGCGAAGGUAGCGCAAUCACUUGUUCUUUAAAUGAGGACUAGUAUGAAUGGCAUCACGAGGGUUAUACUGUCUCCCUCUUUCAAUCAGUGAAACUGAUCUUCCCGUGAAGAAGCGGGAAUACAUCUAUAAGACGAGAAGACCCCAUGGAGCUUUAAACUCAGUACCAACUGCCCCCUAAUACACCCUCCUAAUUAAGCAGACAUGACUACUAGUUUUCGGUUGGGGUGACCGCGGAGCAAAACAAAACCUCCACGAUGAAAGGAAUUAACCUCCUAAUCAAAGAGCUACAUCUCUAAGAAUCAACAAAUUGACAUUUAUUGAUCCAAUUUUUUUGAUCAACGAACCAAGUUACCCUGGGGAUAACAGCGCAAUCCAUUUCAAGAGCCCCUAUCGACAAAUGGGUUUACGACCUCGAUGUUGGAUCAGGGUAUCCUAGUGGUGCAGCCGCUACUAAAGGUUCGUUUGUUCAACGAUUAAAACCCUACGUGAUCUGAG
rnacentral:rRNA from 1 species